AGACCUCAGAUCAGGCGAGACAACCAGCUGAAUUUAAGCAUAUUACUAAAGCGGAGGAAAAGAACUAACCAGGAUUCCCUCAGUAGCGGCGGCGAAGGAAAAGAGCCAAGCGCCGAAUCCCGUCCGCAGGCGGAUUGAGAAAUGUAGGCAUUAUGGAAGACCGCUUGCCGGUGUCGCUCGGGGGCCUGAGUCCUUCUGAUCAAGGCUCAGCCCAUGGGCGGUGUGAAGGCGACAUUACGUCGCGCCGGGGUCGGUCUUCGAGUCGAGUUGUUUGGGAAUGCAGCUCUAAGUGGGUGGUAAAUUCCAUCUAAGGCUAAAUACCGGCAUGAGACCGAUAGUGCGACAAGUACCUUAAGGGAAAGUUGAAAAGAACUUUGAAAGAGAGUUCAAGAGGGCUAGAAACCGUUGAGAGGUAAGCGGGUGUGGGUCAGCGCAGUCUGCUGCGGGGAUUCAACUUCGGCGGGACAGGGGGCUAGCGGUGUGGGAGGAUCCCCUCGCGGGACCUCUCCCGUUGCUGGCAAGGCCCUCGCCGGCGCAUUCUUCCUCGUGGCGGUCGCGCGACGGCUCUAGGGUGCGGCUUGGAAAGGCUCGGGGCGAAGGUGGCUCGCGACUCGACGCCCGAACUUCAGCGCCCCGUCUGGACCUCGCCGUUUCCUGGGGCGUGGACUAAGUGCUCGCUCGCCCUCUCUCCCUGCGGGGAGGAGGGCGGAGCCCCUUGCUCCAGCGGCUGUCGACGAGGCGGACUGUCCUCAGUGCCUAACAACGUAGCGUCGCCAGGGGCGAGGAUAGCUCACGUAAAGCGUCAGGGGUCUGCGGCGAUGUCGGCAACCCACCCGACCCGUCUUGAAACCACGGACCAAAGGAGUCCUAGCAGCUUGAGUCAGAGAGUCGAUAAAACCCGUGGACGCAAUGAAAGUGAGGGCGGCGGCGCGCAUCGGCAUGGUGGAUCCGGCCUCGAGGUGAGGCGCCUACCGGCCCGUCGCCCGCUACCGUCGGGGGAGGUGGAAGCGUGGCGGCGUCGCGAUAGGACCGAAAGAUGGUGAACUAUGCCUGGGCAGGGGCGAAGCCAGAGGAAACUCUGGUGGAGGCCCGUAAGCGAUCCUGGCGAUGCAAAUCGGUGCGUCCGACCUGGGUAUAGAGGCGAAAGACUAAUCGAACCAUCUAGUAGCUGGUUCCCUUCGAAGUUUCCCUCAGGAUAGCUGGCGCUCAGAGUCUCCCAGUUUUAUCUGGUAAAAGCGAAUGAUUAGAGGUCUUGGGGCGAAGCGAUCUCAACCUAUUCUCAAACUUUAAAUGGGUAAAGCCCGUAUGGCUGGCUUGGAGCGAGGCGUGGAAUCUCGAGCAGCCUAGUGGGCCACUUUUGGUAAAGCAGAACUGGCUCUUGGGAUGAACGAGCGCGGGUUAAAGGCAGCUCAUCAGACCCCAGAAAAGGUGUUGGUCGAUAUAGACAGCAGGGCGGUGGCCAUGGAAGUCGGAAUCGCUAAGGGUGUGUAACAACUCACCUGCCGAAUCAACUAGCCCUGAAAAUGGAUGGCGCUGGGCGUCGGGCCCAUACCGGCGUCGCCGGCAACAGGAACGGCGAGGCUAUGCGCGUGAAGUAGGAGGGCGCCCAGCGGUGAACAACGGAAGCCUAGAGGCGUGGGCCGAGUGGAACGCGCCCGAGUGCAGAUCUUGGUGGUAGUAGCAAAUAUUCAAGCAGCGAGAACUUUGAAGGCGAAGUGGAGAAAGGGUUCCAUGUGAACAGCAGUUGAACAUGGGUCAGUCGGUCCUAAGAGAUGAAGUGAGCGCCGUUGGAAGGGUAGGCGAUGGCCUCAUUAAGCUGACGAUCGAAAGAGUCGGAGUUCAGAUCCCGAAUCUGGUGUGACGGAGAUAGGCGCGCUUGGCGUCCAGUCUUGAUAGCAUAAGCGAUCCGGAAGCUAGUGGCGGGAGCUGCAGGGGAGGAGUUCUCUUUUUCUUUGUGAAGGGCAGAGCGCCCUGGAAUGGGUUAGCCCGAAGAGGGGCCGUGCCCUGGGAAGCGUCAGCGGUUCGGCGGCGUCUGGUGAGCUCGCUGGCCCUUGAAAAUCCGGGGAGAAGGUGUAAAUCUCGCGCCAGGCCGCCCAUAUCCGCAGCAGGUCUCCAAGGUGAACAGCCUCUGGCAUGUUAGAUCAAAGGUAGUUAAAGGGAAGUUGGCAAAAUCAGAUCCGUAACGCGGAAAAGGAUUGGCUCUAAGGGCUGGAGUCGGUCGGGCUGGGUUGCAGCGGGGCUGGAGCUUCGAGCAGCGGCUGGGGAACAGUUGCCCGUGCCCUCCUCUCUCCGCGUGGAAGCGCGGUCUGUAACCCGUCUCGCGGGGCUCUCGUCAGCGGCACUUUCAUGUGUCGUCGUCUUGAGAUUUUGUGAGCGGUGUCGGCGCCGUGUGGAAGGCAGUACGGUGGAAAGGGAUGAAUGCAGCGGUGAGUGGCGACUCUGGGCGCGCGGGGCCCUUCAGCGGAUCUCCCCACUGGCCCCGCUGGGCCGUUAGCCGAGG